rnacentral:rRNA from 1 species
GACGAACGCUGGCGGCGUGCUUAACACAUGCAAGUCGAACGAAGUGGCGAACGGGUGAGUAACGCGUAAUCAACCUGCCCUUCAGGGGGGGACAACAGUUGGAAACGACUGCUAAUACCGAAUACUGAAGGAGGGGAUUGCGUCGGAUUAGCUAGUUGGAGGGGUAACGGCCCACCAAGGCGAUGAUCAGUAGCCUGUCUGAGAGGAUGAACGGCCACAUGGGGACUGGGACACGGCCCAGACGCCUACGGGAAGCAGCAAUGGGGAAUCUUCCGCAAUGGACGGAAGUCUGACGGAGCAACGCCGCGUGAGUGAUGACGGCCUUCGGGUUGUAAAGCUCUGUUAAUCGGGACGCGGUACCGGAAUAGAAAGCCACGGCUAACUACGUGCCAGCAGCCGCGGUAAUUC